AUAAAGAUGAAAAACAGAAGAAACAUAAAAUGACACCAAGGCAUAUUAUAAUCAAAUUGCUUAAAACCAACGAUAAAGAGAAAAUCUGAAAAGCAGCCAGACAGAAAAAACACAUUAUACAGAGGAAAAGGUUCAUAAACUGAAGACCGAUAGCAAAAUGAUGUUCAGUUAAGCAAAUUCAACAUGUCUGAACCUUCAUAAAUUCGGCCCCAGUGAUGCUGUCCUGCAGUGUGAUCCUGGCCUACUCUUUGGGUGAAAUUGAAACUGAUAAUAUUUUGAUGUCAACGCAUCUCAUUCAAGAGCUGAGCUGUGAAAUCCUACGAAGCCAUGGCAGGGGGUAGCUUUCUGAGGUUAUCCAAUCCUAUCUGGUGACCGAUCCAGGAAAAGAGGAAAUGAAGCUGGCCCUCCUGUGUGGCUUGGGGAGAACCUAGGUAGAGCCUCAGAUCCUGGGCAUCGAUAUUCCACAUGGAUCCUGUUUGUACCUCUUGUAUUCACACCGGGGAAACUGCAAAGGGAAGACUGCUAAGUAAUGAAAAGGGACACAGUACCAUGCAGUUGAACACCAUGUCAAGUGAGGAUAAAGGAAAACAGCCAUGACAUCACUCCAUUACUGCCACCCCCAGUGUGCCUCAC
rnacentral:lncRNA from 1 species